GGCGAAAUAGUUUAAGGUAAAACAAUAGGUUGUGGUUCUAUAAAUAGGGGUUACUUUUUCGUCA
rnacentral:tRNA from 1 species